rnacentral:lncRNA from 1 species
UACUUAUAAGGUGACAAUAAUUACUGUCAUAGAUUAUUUAUUAUUAUCUAGAAACAAGAUAUUUGUUCUUUUGUAAUUGUAGCCGUCUAGUUUUAUAAGUAAGCAUGAUAUCCGGCAGAUUUACAAGGGAUUGUCUGAUGCCUCCAUUUUCAUCAUUACAUCCUGUUGGCCCUGGCUCUCAUUGAUCACAAGGGAGAAGACAAUUUUAGCGGCAAAGACUGCCUUUUUUAGCGGAUGAUAAUACGACAGAUACCGGUUUAGUCAAACAACAUAUAUGUUGAUGUAGGUUGAGGACCCGUUGAACUUUCUCAACUUUCAAUGAAAACAAUGACACUAUAAUAUCCUUUUUGUACUCUGAUAAUUUCUUACAGGUGGGUGAAUCUUAUACAGGCG